UGACAUAAAAUAUUACAAAAUAGCUUCACUGUUACAAUUUUCAUAGAAUAUAGAUUUUCUUUCAAAUUCAUCCACCACUCCUCAGUCAUUCAUCACCUUUGGAAUUCAAAUUGUUUAGUAGAUGAGAUUCAUCAAGAUACAAAGAUGCUGAUUCUCCAACUAUGAGUUUCAAGCAAGCAUAUGCAGUUCAAUUCAGAUGGCAAAAAUCAGAGGAGAAUUAACAUGCCCGGACUCCUCUGGUUCAUUACCAUUGUUGUAGAAUUGGGACAGUCCAAACAUCAUAUAGCAGCUUGGAUAUAGAAUUUUCCCCUCUGGACUUGCCAAACUAUUCCAAGGAAUUUCGU